rnacentral:rRNA from 1 species
ACAGGCUUAACACAUGCAAGUCGAGGGGCAGCAUGGUCUUAGCUUGCUAAGGCCGAUGGCGACCGGCGCACGGGUGAGUAACACGUAUCCAACCUGCCGUCUACUCUUGGACAGCCUUCUGAAAGGAAGAUUAAUACAAGAUGGCAUCAUGAGUCCGCAUGUUCACAUGAUUAAAGGUAUUCCGGUAGACGAUGGGGAUGCGUUCCAUUAGAUAGUAGGCGGGGUAACGGCCCACCUAGUCUUCGAUGGAUAGGGGUUCUGAGAGGAAGGUCCCCCACAUUGGAACUGAGACACGGUCCAAACUCCUACGGGAGGCAGCAGUGAGGAAUAUUGGUCAAUGGGCGAGAGCCUGAACCAGCCAAGUAGCGUGAAGGAUGACUGCCCUAUGGGUUGUAAACUUCUUUUAUAAAGGAAUAAAGUCGGGUAUGGAUACCCGUUUGCAUGUACUUUAUGAAUAAGGAUCGGCUAACUCCGUGCCAGCAGCCGCGGUAAUACGGAGGAUCCGAGCGUUAUCCGGAUUUAUUGGGUUUAAAGGGAGCGUAGAUGGAUGUUUAAGUCAGUUGUGAAAGUUUGCGGCUCAACCGUAAAAUUGCAGUUGAUACUGGAUAUCUUGAGUGCAGUUGAGGCAGGCGGAAUUCGUGGUGUAGCGGUGAAAUGCUUAGAUAUCACGAAGAACUCCGAUUGCGAAGGCAGCCUGCUAAGCUGCAACUGACAUUGAGGCUCGAAAGUGUGGGUAUCAAACAGGAUUAGAUACCCUGGUAGUCCACACGGUAAACGAUGAAUACUCGCUGUUUGCGAUAUACUGCAAGCGGCCAAGCGAAAGCGUUAAGUAUUCCACCUGGGGAGUACGCCGGCAACAGUGAAACUCAAAGGAAUUGACGGGGGCCCGCACAAGCGGAGGAACAUGUGGUUUAAUUCGAUGAUACGCGAGGAACCUUACCCGGGCUUAAAUUGCAGAUGAAUUACGGUGAAAGCCGUAAGCCGCAAGGCAUCUGUGAAGGUGCUGCAUGGUUGUCGUCAGCUCGUGCCGUGAGGUGUCGGCUUAAGUGCCAUAACGAGCGCAACCCUUGUUGUCAGUUACUAACAGGUUCCGCUGAGGACUCUGACAAGACUGCCAUCGUAAGAUGUGAGGAAGGUGGGGAUGACGUCAAAUCAGCACGGCCCUUACGUCCGGGGCUACACACGUGUUACAAUGGGGGGUACAGAGGGCCGCUACCACGCGAGUGGAUGCCAAUCCCCAAAACCUCUCUCAGUUCGGACUGGAGUCUGCAACCCGACUCCACGAAGCUGGAUUCGCUAGUAAUCGCGCAUCAGCCACGGCGCGGUGAAUACGUUCCCGGGCCUUGUACACACCGCCCGUCAAGCCAUGGGAGCCGGGGGUACCUGAAGUGCGUAACCGCGAGGAGCGCCCUAGGGUAAAACUGGUGACUGGGGCUAAGUCAUA